rnacentral:rRNA from 1 species
CGGAUUUAUUGGGUUUAAAGGGAGCGUAGAUGGAUGUUUAAGUCAGUUGUGAAAGUUGCGGGCUCAACCGUAAAAUUGCAGUUGAUACUGGAUAUCUGNAGUGCAGUUGAGGCAGGCGGAAUUCGUGGUGUAGCGGUGAAAUGCUUAGAUAUCACGAAGAACUCCGAUUGCGAAGGCAGCCUGCUAAGCUGCAACUGACAUUGAGGCUCGAAAGUGUGGGUAUCAAACAGGGUUAGAUACCCUGGUAGUCCACACGGUAAACGAUGAAUACUCGCUGUUUGCGAUAUACAGCAAGCGGCCAAGCGAAAGCGUUAAGUAUUCCACCUGGGGAGUACGCCGGCAACGGUGAAACUCAAAGGAAUUGACGGGGGCCCGCACAAGCGGAGGAACAUGUGGUUUAAUUCGAUGAUACGCGAGGAACCUUACCCGGGCUUAAAUUGCAGAUGAAUUACGGUGAAAGCCGUAAGCCGCAAGGCAUCUGUGAAGGUGCUGCAUGGUUGUCGUCAGCUCGUGCCGUGAGGUGUCGGCUUAAGUGCCAUAACGAGCGCAACCCUUGUUGUCAGUUACUAACAGGUUCCGCUGAGGACUCUGACAAGACUGCCAUCGUAAGAUGUGAGGAAGGUGGGGAUGACGUCAAAUCAGCACGGCCCUUACGUUCGGGGCUACACACGUGUUACAAUGGGGGGUACAGAGGGCCGCUACCACGCGAGUGGAUGCCAAUCCCCAAAACCUCUCUCAGUUCGGACUGGAGUCUGCAACCCGACUCCACGAAGCUGGAUUCGCUAGUAAUCGCGCAUCAGCCACGGCGCGGUGAAUACGUUCCCGGGCCUUGUACACACCGCCCGUCAAGCCAUGGGAGCCGGGGGUACCUGAAGUGCGUAACCGCGAGGAGCGCCCUAGGGU